GGGGAAUAUUGGACAAUGGGCGAAAGCCUGAUCCAGCCAUGCCGCGUGUGUGAAGAAGGUCUUCGGAUUGUAAAGCACUUUAAGUUGGGAGGAAGGGUUUCUGGCUAAUAUCCAGGAAUUUUGACGUUACCGACAGAAUAAGCACCGGCUAACUUCGUGCCAGCAGCCGCGGUAAUACGAAGGGUGCAAGCGUUAAUCGGAAUUAGUGGGCGUAAAGCGCGCGCAGGUGGUUUCUUAAGUCUGAUGUGAAAGCCCACGGCUUAACCGGGAGGGUCAUUGGAAACUGGGAGACUUGAGUGCAGAAGAGGAAAGUGGAAUUCCAAGUGUAGCGGUGAAAUGCGUAGAGAUUUGGAGGAACACCAGUGGCGAAGGCGACUUUCUGGUCUGCAACUGACGCUGAGGCGCGAAAGCAUGGGGAGCAAACA
rnacentral:rRNA from 1 species